rnacentral:rRNA from 1 species
GAGUUUGAUCCUGGCUCAGAUUGAACGCUGGCGGCAUGCCUUACACAUGCAAGUCGAACGGCACCAUGACCUAGCUUGCUAGAUUGAUGGCGAGUGGCGAACGGGUGAGUAAUACAUCGGAACGUGCCCUGUAGUGGGGGAUAACUAGUCGAAAGAUUAGCUAAUACCGCAUACGACCUGAGGGUGAAAGUGGGGGACCGCAAGGCCUCAUGCUAUAGGAGCGGCCGAUGUCUGAUUAGCUAGUUGGUGAGGUAAAGGCUCACCAAGGCGACGAUCAGUAGCUGGUCUGAGAGGACGAUCAGCCACACUGGGACUGAGACACGGCCCAGACUCCUACGGGAGGCAGCAGUGGGGAAUUUUGGACAAUGGGCGAAAGCCUGAUCCAGCAAUGCCGCGUGUGUGAAGAAGGCCUUCGGGUUGUAAAGCACUUUUGUCCGGAAAGAAAUGGCUCUGGUUAAUACCUGGGGUCGAUGACGGUACCGGAAGAAUAAGGACCGGCUAA